rnacentral:misc_RNA from 1 species
GAUGAAGAACGCAGCGAAAUGCGAUAAGUAGUGUGAAUUGCAGAAUUCAGUGAAUCAUCGAAUCUUUGAACGCACAUUGCGCCCCUUGGUAUUCCAUGGGGCAUGCCUGUUCGAGCGUCAUCUACAACCCUCAAGCCCUGCUUGGUGUUGGGCGUCUGUCCCGCCCCUCGCGCGGACUCGCCCCAAAUCCAUUGGCGGCGGCCCUUGCCUCCCUCUCGCGCAGCACAUUGCGCUUCUCGAGGCGUCGCGGGCCGCGCUCCACGAAGCACGCAAACCAGUCUUUGACCUCGGAUCAGGUAGGGAUACCCGCUGAACUUAAGCAUAUCAAUAAGCGGAGGA